rnacentral:lncRNA from 1 species
GAGGCUCGGCCGCCCUCUGGCGGACGCUGUGGAGACGCGCGGGACAACCCCCGGCGGGGACGCCCACUCGGGCGCCCAGGACUUGAGGAACUUUAGCGGCGCUCAGGGUCUCACAGAAGCCCUCCGGCCCCAGUCAGUGCGCCUGCGCGGCCCACACAGCGCCAACUCAGCCCCUGGCGGCCACGCCCCUCAGUCACUCAGCGCUGCGGCCCCGCCCCAACCGAUUGCACCCGGGACUCAGGCCUCCACACAGGCCACCCCCCUCCAGUCGGUUCCGCCCAUGGACCACGCCUCCGAGUGGUCCCGCCCAGAUGCAGAAUGGCCCCGCCCUGCCUCGGGCCUGCCACGCCCCCAUCGCGGAAAGCAACUGUGAAAUUUUGAAGAUACUUAGGACAGGCAGCCUGAGAACUUUACAUGGUCCAUCCUCCCCCACCCUUCUAGAGGAAGACCAGACCCACCAAGGGAGUUGCCACUCACCUGCAGACACAGCUGCUGCUCUCCCUCCAUCAAGGCCUCCUGAAGGGCUGCCCUUUCCUGGCAUGAACUGCAGGAGCUGAGAUGAGACCCUCACUAUCAUGUAAGUAAAAACCUUCCCAGUCUCCCUUUACUAGAGAAGUGGCAUAGUGCUUCAGAGGGACAAGUGUAGUAGAGGAGGGGACAAAGACUACUUUUGCUUUAGCUGUGCACCACCAAGACUCAUAUAAAUAGAAACUUGGUAAGCAUGGGUAGGAACACCAGUCAUGUGGUAGUUCCUGAGCUGCACACUGCUACACGAAUCACCCUAAUCAUCCAGUCACCAAGCUGGACUCAGCCACGUCCUCCUUUGGUCUGUCAGCAAAGACAUUUCCUUUAUGUAUCUCCAGAAACCUCAAGGAACUCUUGGCACCACACAUGUCCUUGACAGACCCAAAGAUGAGUCCUGGGGAAGCGUCUG